rnacentral:tRNA from 1 species
GCAGGGGUGGCGGAGCGGUCAAACGCGACAGACUCAAGAUCUGCUGACUCAGCGUCUACGCAGGUUCGAAUCCUGCCCCCUGCA